rnacentral:lncRNA from 1 species
AAUCCUUUUCUUUUAAAGAAGCAUUUUCUUUUAUACUCAUAACAAUUUUUGAAGCUUAAAUAAAUUCGCUAUACAACUCAUCAAAAGCAUUUUGCAUUUCUUCAAGGGAAAAGAAAUUUUUGGAAGAAAUUUGACAUACCUCUUCUUUGUCGUCUUCUUGUGCCAUAAGACAAAGAUUUGCGGCUUCGUCUUCUUCUUCCUCACUUGACUCGUCACCGGAGUCGCCUCCCCAAGAUAUGUA